rnacentral:rRNA from 1 species
CCUACGGGUGGCAGCAGUGGGGAAUAUUGCACAAUGGGGGAAACCCUGAUGCAGCGACGCCGUGUGAGUGAAGAAGUAAUUCGUUAUGUAAAGCUCUAUCAGCAGGGAAGAAAAUGACGGUACCUGAGUAAGAAGCCCCGGCUAACUACGUGCCAGCAGCCGCGGUAAUACGUAGGGGGCAAGCGUUAUCCGGAUUUACUGGGUGUAAAGGGAGCGUAGACGGCAGUGCAAGUCUGGAGUGAAAGGCGGGGGCUCAACCGCGGAACUGCAUUUGAAACUGUUUUUCUUGAGUACCGGAGAGGUCAUCGGAAUUCCUUGUGUAGCGGUGAAAUGCGUAGAUAUAAGGAAGAACACCAGUGGCGAAGGCGGAUGACUGGACGGCAACUGACGGUGAGGCGCGAAAGCGUGGGGAGCAAACAGGAUUAGAUACCCGGGUAGUC